AACAGAAUCUGAACCUGGGUCUCCCACAGGGAGUAGGUAACAUGAGGGAUCUGAACCACGGGGAGUAGGUAACAGGAGGGAUCUGAACCUGGGUCUCCCACGGGGAGUAGGUAACAGGAGGGAUCUGAACCACGGGGAGUAGGUAACAGGAGGGAUCUGAACCUGGGUCUCCCACGGGGAGUAGGUAACAGGAGGGAUCUGAACCAUGGGGAGUAGGUAACAGAGGGGAUCUGAACCACGGGGAGUAGGUAACAGGAGGGAUCUGAACCACGGGGAGUAGGUAACAGGAGGGAUCUGAAUCUGGGUCUCCCACGGGGAGUAGGUAACAGGAGGGAUCUGAACCACGUGGAGUAAGUAACAGGAGGGAUCUGAACCUGGGUCUCCCACGGGGAGUAGGUAACAUGAGGGAUCUGAACCACGGGGAAUAGGUAACAUGAGGGAUCUGAACCACGGGGAAUAGGUAACAUGAGGGAUCUGAACCACGGGGAGUAGGUAACAGGAGGGAUCUGAACCACGGGGAGUAGGUAACAUGAGGGAUCUGAACCACGGGGAGUAGGUAACAGGAGGGAUCUGAACCUGGGUCUCCCACGGGGAGUAGGUAACAGGAGGGAUCUGAACCACGGGGAGUAGGUAACAUGAGGGAUCUGAACCACGGGGAGUAGGUAACAUGAGGGAUCUGAACCACGGGGAGUAGGUAACAGGAGGGAUCUGAACCACGGGGAGUAGGUAACAGGAGGGAUCUGAACCACGGGGAGUAGGUAACAGGAGGGAUCUGAACCUGGGUCUCCCACGGGGAGAAACCAAGUAGGAGAAUGGAUUACUAGACCGGGUUGGCGGAGUGAAAAGUCAUUUGAGUUUUUAUCACCGGGUUGCCUCCCGGACGUGAGCCAGGUGCCCCUUUCAAAGCCCGCGGAGAAGAUGGCUCAAAACAAAAAGUGACCUAGGCGAUACAUGUAGACUAAUGAGUAGGAUGCUGUGUUUUCACAUGCUGAAGUGGGGCUUUUGAUUAAAAAAAAUAUUUGCCUGAAAAUGUAGCAUUCUUACCUCAGGAAGUUGGUGACUCCUGAAUCAGGGAGAACGGGCUUGUGGUAAAGGCUGGAGCGGAAUCAGUGGAAUGUUGGAAAAUACAUCACACACACACUUGGUUUCCAUGGUUUCCAUGUGUUGGAUGCCAUUCCAUUUGCUCCGUUCCGGCAAUUAUUAUGAGCCGUUCUCUCCUCAGCAGCCUCCAAAAGGUCUUACAUAUAUUUUAAGAUUACUGUUCUAUUUGAGCAGGGCGCACCUCCCUCACCGGUUUCACCCAGUCACGCAACAGGCCAUAGCCCCGGUUCAACCUGGGGCAGUUUAAUCAGAUCACCUCAGUGUCCUGUCCAUUAGACCAUAGCCCCGGUUCAACCUGGGGCAGUUUAAUCAGAUCACCUCAGUGUCCUGACCAUUAGACCAUAGCCCCGGUUCAACCUGGGGCAGUUUAAUCAGAUCACCUCAGUGUCCUGACCAUUAGACCAUAGCCCCGGUUCAACCUGGGGCAGUUUAAUCAGAUCACCUCAGUGUCCUGACCAUUAGACCAUAGCCCCGGUUCAACCUGGGGCAGUUUAAUCAGAUCACCUCAGUGUCCUGACCAUUAGACCAUAGCCCCGGUUCAACCUGGGGCAGUUUAAUCAGAUCACCUCAGUGUCCUCACCAUUAGAUCAUAGCCCCGGUUCAACCUGGGGCAGUUUAAUCAGAUCACCUCAGUGUCCUGACCAUUAGACCAAUAGCCCCGGUUCAACCUGGGGCAGUUUAAUCAGAUCACCUCAGUGUCCUGACCAUUAGACCAUAGCCCCGGUUCAACCUGGGGCAGUUUAAUCAGAUCACCUCAGUGUCCUGACCAUUAGACCAUAGCCCCGGUUCAACCUGGGGCAGUUUAAUCAGAUCACCUCAGUGUCCUGUCCAUUAGACCAUAGCCCCGGUUCAACCUGGGGCAGUUUAAUCAGAUCACCUCAGUGUCCUGACCAUUAGACCAUAGCCCCGGUUCAACCUGGGGCAGUUUAAUCAAAUCACCUCGGUGUUCUGAUCAUUUGAACAAGAGGAAUUCCCCCUCUUUGACCUGUUACCCUGAUUACUUUUGAAGUCCCAGGCAGAACUACCUCAUCAGGAGGAGCCAAACUCACUACAUCAGGAUGCCAGUAGGUCAAGUACUCAAUUCACGGCUUGUAUUCAAUUUGAAUAAUAAUCAAAUACAUGGUUCUAAAUGCAUCUAUUUCACAGGUUCGAUUUAAAAAGCUCCAUGACAACCAACCUCCUUCCCGUUUCCCUCGAACCAACCUCCUUCCCGUUGCACUUGAAUGAACCUCCUUCCCGUUGCCCCCAACGAACCUCCUUCCCGUGGCCCCCAACGAACCUCCUUCCCGUUGUCCCCAACGAACCUCCUUCCCGUUGCCCCCAACGAACCUCCUUCCUGUUGCCCCCAACGAAUCUCCUUCCCGUUGCGCUCGAAUCAACCUCCUUCCUGUUGCCCCCAACGAACCUCCUUCCCGUUGCCCCCAAUGAACCUCCUUCCCGUUGCCCCCAACGAACCUCCUUCCCGUUGCCCCCAACGAACCUCCUUCCCGUUGCGCUCGAAUCAACCGCCUUCCUGUUGCCCCCAACAAACCUCCUUCCUGUUUCCCCCAACCAACCUCCUUCCCGUUGCGCCUGAACCAACCUCCUUCCUGUUUCCCUUCCUGUUUCCCUCGAACCAACCUCCUUCCUGUUUCCCUCGAACCAACCUCCUUCCUGUUUCCCUCGAACCAACCUCCUUCCUGUUUCCCUCGAACCAACCUCCUUCCUGUUUCCCUCGAACCAACCUCCUUCCCAAGUGCCCUCGAACCAACCUCCUUCCCAGUGCCCUCGAACCAACCUCCUUCCCAGUGCCCUCGAACCAACCUCCUUCCCAGUGCCCUCGAACCAACCUCCUUCCUGUUGCGCUCGAAUCAACCGCUUUCCUGUUGCGCUCGAAUCAACCGCUUUCCUGUUGCCCCGACAAACCUCCUUCCCGUUGCCCUCGAACCAACCUCCUUCCCGUUGCCCUCGAACCAACCUCCUUCCCGUUGCGCUAGUCUUUAACACCAGUUGUCUUUCUCUUACUAACACUGACUGAGCUGAAAGCUGCUUUACUGAGGAGUGUCUGCUACAUGACCAAAAUGUUCUCUACACAUGCUUCUUAAUGUCUUUCUCUCCCUGACUCUCUCCCCCCUCUCUCUCUCUCUCCAUCUCCUCCCUCUCUCUCAUCUCCUCCCUCUCUCUCU